CAAUAGCGUAUAUUAAAGUUGUUGCAGUUAAAAAGCUCGUAGUUGAAUUUCUGUCAGGAGUGACCGGGCCUUUGGAUGAACUUCCAUUGUUUUUUGCUCUGUUUGUCAUCUCUAGACAUCCUGAAAUAUUUUUUAAAAAUAUUUCUCUUUUACUGUUAGCAAAAUAGAGUGUUCCAAGCAAAGCGUAGUUUUGAAUACAUUAGAAUGGAAUAAUAAGAUAGGACUUUGGUGCUAUUUUGUUGGUUUGCACACCAAGGUAAUGAUUAAUAGGGACAGUUGGGGGUAUUCGUAUUUAAUUGUCAGAGGUGAAAUUCUUGGAUUUAUGAAAGACGAACUACUGCGAAAGCAUUUACCAAGGAUGUUUCCAUUAA
rnacentral:rRNA from 1 species